AUUGAACGCUGGCGGCAGGCCUAACACAUGCAAGUCGAACGGUAACAGGAAACAGCUUGCUGUUUCGCUGACGAGUGGCGGACGGGUGAGUAAUGUCUGGGAAACUGCCUGAUGGAGGGGGAUAACUACUGGAAACGGUAGCUAAUACCGCAUAACGUCGCAAGACCAAAGAGGGGGACCCUCGGGCCUCUUGCCAUCGGAUGUGCCCAGAUGGGAUUAGCUUGUUGGUGGGGUAACGGCUCACCAAGGCGACGAUCCCUAGCUGGUCUGAGAGGAUGACCAGCCACACUGGAACUGAGACACGGUCCAGACUCCUACGGGAGGCAGCAGUGGGGAAUAUUGCACAAUGGGCGCAAGCCUGAUGCAGCCAUGCCGCGUGUAUGAAGAAGGCCUUCGGGU
rnacentral:rRNA from 1 species